AUUAUAUUGGUUAUAGUGAUUUGUGAUCAGUGAUCUUUAAUGUUACUCUUGUAAUUGUUUUGGGGCAGCAGGAACCAUACCUAUAUAAAAUGGCAGACUUAAUUAAUAAAUGUUUAUGUUCUGACUGUUUUAUCAACCAUUGUUUUUCCUGUUUUCAGGCCUCCCCAUUUCCUGAGACACAAAUAUUGAAUUUAGGCCAGUUAGUAACUCUAUAGUGGCCUGUAAGUGUUCAAGUGAAUGGCAGAGUUGCACGUCUCUCACUUUAAAUCAAAAGCUAAAAAUGAUUAGGCUUAGGGAAGAACGCAUGCUGAAAACCAAGACAGGCUGAUAGGCCUUUUGCUCCAGUUAACCAUGUUGUCAAUGCAAAGGAAAAGUUCUUGAAGAAAAUUAAAAGUGUGUUACUCUGUUGAACACAAGAAUGUGAUCUGGAACUAAGCCUGCAAUAUCUCUGAGUUUGCAUUAUACAAGACUGAAUGGUGCUUGGCAGAGAGGAAUUUUAAGAAUUUGGAAGUAAAGAGGUAAGUGGAACUAGAUUUUAUAGAUAGGAAACUUCCCCUUCCCAGUCUUUGCCCAUUAAAAAAAAUAAAGACACCUCCACUAAAAGAUUCAUAGAUGUUGGGAAAACAGAAUUGGGGGGAACUUUUGAUUUUCUUCUUUAGAUGUGAGGUGGGUUGAGGAGGAGUAGUCAAGAAACUGGUAGAUGACUGUACAGUAGAUAACAUGUAAUGUCAUUUUAAAGUUUGUGUUUUUCUUAAGCUUGCUUUAGUAAGCAGGAAACACUU